AACUGAGCUACUCGGUCAUGCAACCGUGCCAACUCAACAUUCAACAAUUCAACAACAACUCCUUCAUUAAAGUUUUUCAAAAUGGUGGUCCUGGUCGCCUUUCCGAUGGUGUGAACUUUGUAGUCUGUGAGUAUCUAUAAUCACAUUUAUACCAGAGUAAUCCUAUAACUAGGAUUAUAGCCUACUUGUUUUGUUGUGAUUAUGGCCACGAUUCUCAACGUUCAUUUGAUGUCAACAAUUGAUUGGUUUUGAUCAUUUUGGAUUAACUUAUGCUUUCUAUUUUAAAAAGAAGAACUCAUUAAUAUUUAACUAACAAUUCUUGGAAUCUUGACUAGAUGAGUAUUUGAAUUAAAGCCCUUGUGUCUUCUUGUGACCUGCUGAUGUGGCUAAUGCUGCUGGUCAAUCCAAUCACUCAACAGUUUUCUAUUUAUGAUGUUGUUUGGCUAAACUUUUCCAUCCGGUAGCAUCUAUGAUUGCACAGUGGAUGAUCCCUGAUGUUCAGUUUUUAUUUGAAUGCUGAAAUAUCUAACUACUCCUGUCUAGUUCUUCCAUUUUUCCUCAUGGGACUGAUUACAAGGAUUGUUCCAGUGUUAACAUUUUUGCAACUUGUGAGAACUUAUAUUGACUGAGAAAAGAGGUUUCUAACAAGGCUCAACUGUGUGCACAUCAUGAAAUGAAUAUGAAUUGAUCAUUUAUUUGAAAUUUAGAUAAGACCCAUCCCCAGCAACGUCAACCGCAGAAGGAAAGGCCAGUUUGCAUAUCCUUGACGUUCGAAGGUCACAGAGAUCAUUACGUAAAACGUUUCUUGCAGUUGUGUAGAGGUUGGGUGAGAACGGGAC